rnacentral:rRNA from 1 species
ACGGGGGGGGCAAGCGUUGUUCGGAAUUACUGGGCGUAAAGGGCUCGUAGGUGGCCAACUAAGUCAGACGUGAAAUCCCUCGGCUUAACCGGGGAACUGCGUCUGAUACUGGAUGGCUUGAGUUUGGGAGAGGGACGCGGAAUUCCAGGUGUAGCGGUGAAAUGCGUAGAUAUCUGGAGGAACACCAGUGGCGAAAGCGGCUCACUGGGUCUUUCCUAACGCUGAGGCACGAAAGCUAGGGGAGCGAACGGGA